UACCAGCACCCCGAGUGGUCGGGACGUUUUAUUGGGCCUAAAGCAUCCGUAGCCGGUUCUACAAGUCUUCCGUUAAAUCCAACUGCUUAACAGGUGGGCUGCGGAAGAUACUAUAGAGCUAGGAGGCGGGAGAGGCAAGCGGUACUCGAUGGGUAGGGGUAAAAUCCGUUGAUCCAUUGAAGACCACCAGUGGCGAAGGCGGCGUUGCCAGAACGCGCUCGACGGUGAGGGAUGAAAGCUGGGGGAGCAA
rnacentral:rRNA from 1 species